UGGGGAAUAUUGCACAAUGGGCGAAAGCCUGAUGCAGCGACGCCGCGUGAGGGAAGAAGGUUUUCGGAUUGUAAACCUCUGUCUUCGGGGACGAUAAUGACGGUACCCGAGGAGGAAGCCACGGCUAACUACGUGCCAGCAGCCGCGGUAAAACGUAGGUGGCAAGCGUUGUCCGGAAUUACUGGGUGUAAAGGGAGCGCAGGCGGGCUGGUAAGUUGAAUGUGAAAACCAUAGGCUCAACCUAUGGAUUGCGUUCAAAACUACUGGUCUUGAGUGAUGGAGAGGCAGGCGGAAUUCCCGGUGUAGCGGUGGAAUGCGUAGAUAUCGGGAGGAACACCAGUGGCGAAGGCGGCCUGCUGGACAUUAACUGACGCUGAGGCUCGAAAGUAUGGGGAGCAAACAGG
rnacentral:rRNA from 1 species